rnacentral:tRNA from 1 species
GGCCUUGAAGUAUAUAUUACGUUGAAUUGCAAAUUCAGAGAAGUAGUUGUGUGACUGCCUGGGCCUA